UAUGUGAAGACAUUCUUCUGUUCUUCUGCAUAGUCCUCCCCUCUUGCUAAUAGCCUGUGCUAUGGAUGGGCGACCAGCUUAUUGAACAAGUAACGUCAAUGAAUCAUCUGGCAGAGAAAGCCUCAAAAUUGUCCUCUUGCACACCCCCACACCUCAUGAUGUAUAUAAGCCUUGAAGGGAGGAAGACACCUUAACAUCUGCUUCCCAGAUACGGCUGCUGCCCAGUAGUGAGAGAGCCUGUGUUGCUGUUGUCUGCUGUUUGUCAGCCUGCCAGCCUGUGUGCCCCCUUAACUUGUGGGGCUGUGGCUGCUGCCCUCUGGGUCCCGGGUGUUUCAGAAGUGUCUUGGUUUGUCUGUGGAUGGGGAGACAGGAGGCAUGUCCACUGACUAUGGUGUGGCUAUUCCGAUGGUGGUGCGGAAACCAUCCAUGAUUUGAUUCUGGACGAAGGGGCAGACCUGAAGUCUGUAAAUGUGGUGUUUUAAUGAAAGAACGGGUCAUUGAGGAAGACACACGCUGAAAUGCAUCUGACCCAUUGGAAAUGUCCCACUGAAAAUGACUCUUACACUUGGAAAAGACUUCUUAUUUCUUGGUGGAAAGGCAUUUGGUCCUCAUAAGGAGUUUGGCUCACUGUGAGCCUACUUUGACUAUUCAGAGACAUUUUUAAUGUGAUUUUGUAUUGUAGUAUUGUCUGCACAGGAAUGUUUUUAUAGUAUGAAUUUAAAUGUGUGUCAUUGUUUUAUGUAGAACUUGUACAUUAUAUUAAUAUAUCCAUUUUCAGUCACAUUCUGAAUUUUUGGCAGCCUAUUGUUACACUAGUUUCUUAUUCUAUUGGCAUUGGUGUCCCCCAGGCUUGUGGUGCUGGGGGACUUCAAUGUCCAUUUUGAAACCAAUAGGUCCAGGGUGGUUCAGGAGUCAUAGCGACCAUGACAACUAUGGGCCUAUCCCAAGGGGUCUUGGGACCAACACAAGUUGCUGGUCACACGCUUGAUCUCUUCUUUUCACUCUGAUCAGGGUGGUGUUCCGUGGGUAGGGACUCCUGUGAUUUCCCCAUUGUCAUGGAUGGACCACCAUUUGGACUCACAGUCACACCCAAUCUUCGUAAGGGUGAGGGGCCCAUUAGAAUGGUCCGCCCAAUUCAGUAGGGUUCCAAGAAGCCUUGGACGGAACUUGGAGGUUUGGGGUGGGUUAUGGGGUGGAGAAUGCCUUGGUCGGUCUGAUGGAUGAUCUCCAAUGGGGAAUUGACAUAGGAAGUGUGACUCUGUUGGUCCUUUCGGACCUCUCAGUGGCUAUUGAUACUAUCUUCAGGUGAUCCUGUUGAUGCCCUGGUGGAGAAUUGGAACAGCAAACUCACCAGGGCAGUAGACAUGAUCGCUCCUAAGUGUCCUCUCUGACCCGCUUCAAAAUUGGCCCCUUGGUAUAUGGAAGAAUUACGGGGGCUGAAGCAGUGAGGUAGAUGACUGGAGCACAAGUGGAGGAAAAUUUGACUCGAAUAUGACAGAUUACAACAUAAGGUACAUUUGAAGAUCUAUGCUCUGGAAAUACAGGUGGCAAAGAAGCAACACCGCAAGUUCACGUCCAGCAGAGUUGUUCAGGGUUAUGAGAGGGCUAGUAAGUGCUCUUCCUCCCUUGAAUCAGAACUUUGAACCAUCUGUUACCCACUGUGAUGUGUUUAAUGAGUUUUUUGUGGAGAAAAUCUCUUGUAUUUGGGCCGACUUUGAUUUAGACCCCACAAUUACUGCAGUAUCUGAAUCGGAGGUGUCCAGCAAUUCGUCUUAUGUGGUCAGGCUGGAUCAGUUCCAGUUUGUGACUUGUGAGGAUGUGGUCAAGCUGCUUGGAAUGAUGCGGCGUACCACCUGUUCUCUUGACCCUAUCUGGCAGGAAUGUUGUCUUAGAGGGCCGAGUAGAGAUCAUAAAGGCUUCUCUGAAGGAGGGCAGGGUGCCUCCUUGCCUUAAGAAGGCAAUUACUAGACCUCUUUUGAAGAAGCCUGCAUUGGAUCCCCCAGUUAAGCAACUAUAGGCCUGUCUCCAACCUUCUGUGGUUGGGCAAGGUAAUUGAGAGGGUGGUGGCCUCCCAACUCCAGGCAGUCUUGGAUGAAACUGAUUAUCUAAACCUGUUUUAGACUGGGUUUUGGGUGGGUUAUGGGAUGGAGAAUGCCUUGGUCGGUCUGAUGGAUGAUUUCCAAUGGAGAAUUGACAAAGGAAGUGUGACUCUGUUGGUCCUUUUGAACCUCUCGGCAGCUUUUGAUACUAUCGACCACAGUAUCCUUCUGGAGUGUCUGAGGGGGUAGUGGGCAGGAGGCACUGCUUUACAGUGGUUCCACUCCUACCUCUCAGGCAGAUUCCAGAUGGUGUCACUCAGGGACUGUUGUUCUUCAAAAUCUGAACUUUUGUAUGGUGUCCUUCAGGGCUCUGUAUUGUCUCUGAUAUUGUUUGACAGCUACAUGAAACUGCUGAGAGAGAUCAUCAGGAGAUUUGGUGCAGGGUGUUAUCAUUAUGCUGAUGACACUCAAAUCUUUUUCGCCAUGUCAACAUCAUCAGCGUGGUAUAGUGGUUAGAGUGCUGGACUAGGGCCAGGGAGACCCGAGUUCAAAUCCCCAUUCAGCCAUGAUACUAGCUGGGUGACUCUGGGCCAGUCACUUAUCUCUCAGCCUAACCUAAUUCACAGGGUUGUUGUGAGGAGAAACUCAAGUAUGUAGUACACCGCUCUGGGCUCCUUGGAGGAAGAGCGGGAUAUAAAUGUAACCAUCAUCAUCAUCAUCAUCAUCAGGAGAAGGCAUAACCUCCCUAAAUGCCUGCCUGGAGGCAGUGAUGAAGGAUGAAGGAUAACAAACUGAGAUUGAAUCCAGAUAAGAUGGAGAUACUUAUUGUGCAGGGUUGGAAUUCAGGAGGUGAUUUUGAUCUGCCUGUUGUGGAUGGGGUCACACUUCCCCAGAAGGAACAGGUACACAGUCUGGUGUUUCUGGACACAAACCUCUUCCUGGUGUCCCAGGUUGAGGCAGUGGCCAGAGGUGCCUUUUAUCAGCUUCAGCUGAUACACCAGCUGCACUCAUUUCUUGAGAUAAAUGACCUCAGAACAUCUGCUGGUCACCUCCAGACUUGACUACUGCAAUGCGCUCUAUGUAGGGCUACCUUUGUACAUAGUCCGGAAACUGAAGUUGGUCCAGAAUGCGCCAACCAGGUUGGUCUCUGGGUCAUCUUGGAGAGACCAUAUCACUCCUAUCUUAAAAGAUCUACACUGGUUGCCGAUAAGUUUCUGGGCAAAAUACAAGGUCUUGGUUAUAACCGAUAAAGCCCUAAACAGCUUGGGCCCUGGGUAUUUAAGAGAACUCUUCUUUGCUAUGAACCACACCGCCCAUUGAGAUCAUCAGGAGAGGUUCGUCCGCAGUUGCCACCAGCUCAUCUGGUGGCUGCUCAGAGACGGGCCUUCUCCAUUGCUGCCCCAAGGCUUUGGAAUGUACUCCCUGCUGAUAUAAGAACCUCCCCAUCUCUUACAACAUUUUAAAUGGCUGUCAAGACACAUCUGUUCACCCAGGAUUUUAAUUAAAUAAUGUUUUAAUAGUUUGGUGAUUUUUAAUAGUUUUGUUUUAAGUUUUUAAUUGUUGUAAUGUUUUAACCUUUUUACUUGUUGUUUUUAUUGUUUUGUUGUAAACUGUCCAGAGACUUGCGUUUUGGGCAGUAUACAAAUAUGUCAAAUAAAUAAAUAAUAAAU